GAUGAACGCUGGCGGCGUGCCUAAUACAUGCAAGUCGAGCGAACUUCUUAAGAGCUUGCUCUUAAGAAGUUAGCGGCGGACGGGUGAGUAACACGUAGGUAACCUGCCUAUAAGACUGGGAUAACUCCGGGAAACCGGGGCUAAUACCGGAUAACAUUUUGCACCGCAUGGUGCGAAAUUGAAAGGCGGCUUCGGCUGUCACUUAUAGAUGGACCUGCGGCGCAUUAGCUAGUUGGUGAGGUAACGGCUCACCAAGGCGACGAUGCGUAGCCGACCGGAGAGUGUGAUCGGCCACACUGGGACUGAGACACGGCCCAGACUCCUACGGGAGGCAGCAGUAGGGAAUCUUCCGCAAUGGACGAAAGUCUGACGGAGCAACGCCGCGUGAGCGAUGAAGGCCUUCGGGUCGUAAAGCUCUGUUGUUAGGGAAGAACAAGUGCUAGUUGAAUAAGCUGGCACCUUGACGGUACCUAACCAGAAAGUCACGGCUAACUACGUGCCAGCAGCCGCGGUAA
rnacentral:rRNA from 1 species